rnacentral:rRNA from 1 species
UGGGGAAUUUUGGACAAUGGGCGAAAGCCUGAUCCAGCAAUGCCGCGUGUGUGAAGAAGGCCUUCGGGUUGUAAAGCACUUUUGUCCGGAAAGAAAUCCUUGGCUCUAAUACAGUCGGGGGAUGACGGUACCGGAAGAAUAAGCACCGGCUAACUACGUGCCAGCAGCCGCGGUAAUACGUAGGGUGCAAGCGUUAAUCGGAAUUACUGGGCGUAAAGCGUGCGCAGGCGGUUUGCUAAGACCGAUGUGAAAUCCCCGGGCUCAACCUGGGAACUGCAUUGGUGACUGGCAGGCUAGAGUAUGGCAGAGGGGGGUAGAAUUCCACGUGUAGCAGUGAAAUGCGUAGAGAUGUGGAGGAAUACCGAUGGCGAAGGCAGCCCCUGGGCCAAGUACUGACGCUCAUGCACGAAAGCGUGGGGAGCAAACAGGAUUAGAUACCCUGGUAGUCCACGCCCUAAACGAUGUCAACUAGUUGUUGGGGAUUCAUUUCCUUAGUAACGUAGCUAACGCGUGAAGUUGACCGCCUGGGGAGUACGGUCGCAAGAUUAAAACUCAAAGAAUUGACGGGGUCAUAGCUGUUUCCU